UUACCAAUACAUCUCAGAUUAAAAGUUUAAAAAACCCCUCUUAUUAUGGAUUACACUUCACUCUAAGCUAAACGGUAACUCUAGCCCUAACCCUAAAAGUCUAAAAGAUGUAUAUGAAGUUUUCUUCCUAGCGUAUUUUUAUUUUGGAAAGUAAUUCAGUUUGUCUUCAUGUAUGAUAUAAUUCUAAAUACUCAGAGCCUGCCAGUAGGUUCUUCUUUGGUUGAUUACAAUUUUAGAAGCUUAGAGCUAAACGUGUGAGGGUAGAGAUGGUGUUAGAGGGAAAUGGUACUACUGAGCUGGGUGGGAAGUGGGUGGUGGGGGGGUCUGACUAUAAUCCACUGUGUGGGUUAUGAUCCUUUGCCAGCCUAUUCCUACGUGAUGAUGGGUAUGGGGUGGGGGUGACUGACGUUUCUAUUGGUUUUAUGUUCUUUGCAGGUUUUGCACUUCUACUGGGGCUUGUGAAGCCAUGGCCUUGGGGGCCAGUUGGUCAACCAUGAGAAGCAGCCCGCAGUUUGGGCAGUUACCGGACAAGGACAGCCCGUGGCCACUCUGGCCCACUGCCUGGCUGUCCUUCACCGAGGCGGGCCACCUUGGUGGGAACAGAAAGACCAAUCAUAGAAUUACAGCCACUCCCUCCAGCACCUAUGUGAGUUGAGGAUCUAAGCCAAAUGCUGCUUCGUGUCACCUCCGGGAAGGACAGUGGCAAAUGCAUGAGCUCGUCUUCAGGGGACACUUCAAUUCCAGGGGCUGCAGGUGAGUGAUGGAUCGUGCUUUAGGUCCCAGUGAAAAGCAUUCUCGAGGAGCUGCUGCCUGAGCCGUGAAGUAGGAGACCUGGGCAGACCUCCGCCAGGCACAACAUUUGUGCGGCCAGAAGUGGAGUCCAGAAUGACAACCCCCGGUUCAGCCCUAAGGAGCUUCCGUAUGGCGAGGUCUGACUCCUGGCGAGGGAAGGAGAUGCUCAGAGGCAGAGACAGACGUCUGCAGGGAGGAAUUAGGAGGUUUGCUCCUG
rnacentral:lncRNA from 1 species